AGGCCAUAUCAUGUUGAAACCUCGACACUCAUAUGAUCACCGAAGUUAAGCAGCGUUUGAUCCUGGUCAGUACGUGGAUGGGUGACCGCUUCGAAAUACCAGGUGUUGUAAG